GACGAACGCUGACGGCGUGCUUAACACAUGCAAGUCGAACGGAAAGGCCCUGCUUUUGUGGGGUGCUCGAGUGGCGAACGGGUGAGUAACACGUGAGUAACCUGCCCUUGACUUUGGGUUAACUUCAGGAAACUGGGGCUAAUACCGGAUAGGAGCUCCUGCUGCAUGGUGGGGGUUGGAAAGUUUCGGCGGUUGGGGAUGGACUCGCGGCUUAUCAGCUUGUUGGUGGGGUAGUGGCUUACCAAGGCUUUGACGGGUAGCCGGCCUGAGAGGGUGACCGGCCACAUUGGGACUGAGAUACGGCCCAGACUCCUACGGGAGGCAGCAGUGGGGAAUAUUGCACAAUGGGCGGAAGCCUGAUGCAGCAACGCCGCGUGCGGGAUGACGGCCUUCGGGUUGUAAACCGCUUUCGCCUGUGACGAAGCGUGAGUGACGGUAAUGGGUAAAGAAGCACCGGCUAACUACGUG
rnacentral:rRNA from 1 species